UUGUCGGGUAAGUUCCGACCUGCACGAAUGGCGUAAUGAUGGCCACGCUGUCUCCACCCAAGACUCAGUGAAAUUGAAAUCGCUGUUAAGAUGCAGUGUACCCGCGGCUAGACGGAAAGACCCCGUGAACCUUUACUAUAGCUUCACACUGGACUUUGAAUUUAUUUGUGUAGGAUAGGUGGGAGACUUUGAAGUGUUGGCGCCAGCUGGCAUGGAGUCGCCCUUGAAAUACCACCCUGGUAACUUUGAGGUUCUAACUUAGGUCCCUUAUCGGGAUUGAGGACAGUGUGUGGUGGGUAGUUUGACUGGGGCGGUCUCCUCCCAAAGAGUAACGGAGGAGCACGAAGGUACCCUAAGGAUGGUCGGAAAUCAUCCGCUUAGUGUAAUGGCACAAGGGUGCUUGACUGCGAGAGUGACAACUCGAGCAGGUGCGAAAGCAGGUCAUAGUGAUCCGGUGGUUCUGAAUGGAAGGGCCAUCGCUCAACGGAUAAAAGGUACUCCGGGGAUAACAGGCUGAUGAUGCCCAAGAGUCCAUAUCGACGGCAUCGUUUGGCACCUCGAUGUCGGCUCAUCUCAUCCUGGGGCUGGAGCAGGUCCCAAGGGUACGGCUGUUCGCCGUUUAAAGAGGUACGUGAGCUGGGUUUAGAACGUCGUGAGACAGUUCGGUCCCUAUCUGCCGUGGGUGUAGGAUACUUGAGAGGAGUUGCCCCUAGUACGAGAGGACCGGGGUGAACGUUCCACUGGUGGACCAGUUGUCAUGCCAAUGGCAGUGCUGGGUAGCUAUGAACGGACAGGAUAACCGCUGAAGGCAUCUAAGCGGGAAGCCCCCCUCAAAACAAGGUAUCCCUGAGGGCCGAGGUAGACCACCUCGUCGAUAGGCCAGAGAUGUAAGCGCAGCAAUGCGUUCAGUUGACUGGUACUAAUUGUUCGCAAGGU
rnacentral:rRNA from 15 species